rnacentral:rRNA from 1 species
GAUCCUGGCUCAGGAUGAACGCUAGCUACAGGCUUAACACAUGCAAGUCGAGGGGCAGCAUUUUAGUUUGCUUGCAAACUAAAGGUGGCGACCGGCGCACGGGUGAGUAACACGUAUCCAACCUGCCGAUAACUCGGGGAUAGCCUUUCGAAAGAAAGAUUAAUAUCCGAUGGUAUAUUUUCUCCGCAUGGUGAGAAUAUUAAAGAAUUUCGGUUAUCGAUGGGGAUGCGUUCCAUUAGUUUGUUGGCGGGGUAACGG